rnacentral:rRNA from 1 species
UUUUGGAUCCUUAUGGAAUAAGGUAAAAGUUACCUCGGGGAUAACUAGGUAAAAGAUGAAGAGAGAUCUAAUCGAUUUGUCUAAUUGCCAUCUCGAUGUUGACUUAGGAAAUAUGAGAAGGUGUAGAAGUUUUCUUAUAUGGUCUGUUCGACCUUAGUUUCCUUCAUGAGUUGAGUUAAGACCGGCGUGAGCCAGGUCGGUUCUUAUCUAUAAUGGAUGUGAAUUAGUACGAAAGGAUUAUUUGC